GACGAACGCUGGCGGCGUGCUUAACACAUGCAAGUCGAACGGAAAGGCCCUGCUUUUGUGGGGUGCUCGAGUGGCGAACGGGUGAGUAACACGUGAGUAACCUGCCCUUGACUUUGGGAUAACUUCAGGAAACUGGGGCUAAUACCGGAUAGGAGCUCCUGCUGCAUGGUGGGGGUUGGAAAGUUUCGGCGGUUGGGGAUGGACUCGCGGCUUAUCAGCUUGUUGGUGGGGUAGUGGCUUACCAAGGCUUUGACGGGUAGCCGGCCUGAGAGGGUGGCCGGCGACAAUGGGACUGAGAUACGGCCCAGACGCCUACGGGAGGCAGCGGUGGGGAAUAUGGCACAAUGGGCGGAAGCCUGUUGCAGCAGCGCCGCGUGCGGGAUGACGGCCUUCGGGUUGUAAACCGCUUUCGCCUGUGACGAAGCGAGAGUGACGGUAAUGGGUAAAGAAGCACCGGCUAACUACGUG
rnacentral:rRNA from 1 species